rnacentral:rRNA from 1 species
UACGUAGGGGGCAAGCGUUGUUCGGAUUGAUUGGGCGUAAAGCGUCUGUAGGUGGCUUUUUAAGUCUGCCGUCAAAUCCCAGGGCUUAACCCUGGACAGGCGGUGGAAACUACCAAGCUGGAGUACGGUAGGGGCAGAGGGAAUUUCCGGUGGAGCGGUGAAAUGCGUAGAGAUCGGAAAGAACACCAACGGCGAAGGCACUCUGCUGGGCCGACACUGACACUGAGAGACGAAAGCUAGGGGAGCAAAUGGG